rnacentral:rRNA from 1 species
GACGAACGCUGGCGGCGUGCUUAACACAUGCAAGUCGAACGGAAAGGCCCUUCGGGGUACUCGAGUGGCGAACGGGUGAGUAACACGUGGGUGAUCUGCCCUGCACUUUGGGAUAAGCCUGGGAAACUGGGUCUAAUACCGGAUAGGACCACGCGCUUCAUGGUGUGUGGUGGAAAGCUUUUGCGGUGUGGGAUGGGCCCGCGGCCUAUCAGCUUGUUGGUGGGGUAAUGGCCUACCAAGGCGACGACGGGUGGCCGGCCUGAGAGGGUGACCGGCCACACUGGGACUGAGAUACGGCCCAGACUCCUACGGGAGGCAGCAGUGGGGAAUAUUGCACAAUGGGCGCAAGCCUGAUGCAGCGACGCCGCGUGAGGGAUGACGGCCUUCGGGUUGUAAACCUCUUUCGCCAGGGACGAAGCGCAAGUGACGGUACCUGGAGAAGAAGGACCGGCCAACUACGUGCCAGCAGCCGCGGUAA